rnacentral:rRNA from 1 species
CCCAGACUCCUACGGGAGGCAGCAGUGGGGAAUAUUGCACAAUGGGGGAAACCCUGAUGCAGCGACGCCGCGUGAAGGAAGAAGUAUUUCGGUAUGUAAACUUCUCUCAGCAGGGAAGAAAAUGACGGUACCUGACUAAGAAGCCCCGGCUAACUACGUGCCAGCAGCCGCGGUAAUACGUAGGGGGCAAGCGUUAUCCGGAUUUACUGGGUGUAAAGGGAGCGUAGGCGGUUUAGCAAGUCAGAAGUGAAAGCCCAAGGCUCAACCAUGGGACUGCUUUUGAAACUGUCAAACUAGAGUACGGGAGAGGUAAGAGGAAUUCCUAGUGUAGCGGUGAAAUGCGUAGAUAUUAGGAGGAACACCAGUGGCGAAGGCGUCUUACUGGACCGAAACUGACGUUGAGGCUCGAAAGCGUGGGGAGCAAACAGGAUUAGAUACCCCUGUA